AUUGAACGCUGGCGGCAGGCCUAACACAUGCAAGUCGAGCGGAGAUGAGGUGCUUGCACCUUAUCUUAGCGGCGGACGGGUGAGUAAUGCUUAGGAAUCUGCCUAUUAGUGGGGGACAACAUUCCGAAAGGAAUGCUAAUACCGCAUACGCCCAACGGGGUAAAGCAGAGGAUCUUCGGACCUUGCGCUCAUAGAUGAGCCUAAGUCGGAUUAGCUAGUUGGUGGGGUAAAGGCCUACAAAGGCGACGAUCGGUAGCGGGUCUGAGAGGAUGAUCCGCCACGCUGGGACUGGGACACGGCCCAGACUCCUACGGGAGGCAGCAGUGGGGAAUAUUGGACAAUGGGCGGAAGCCUGAUCCAGCCAUGCCGUGUGUGUGAAGAAGGCCUUUUGGUUGUAAAGCACUUUAAGCGAGGAGGAGGCUACCUGGAUUAAUACUCUCGGAUAGUGGACGUUACUCGCAGAAUAAGCACCGGCUAACUCUGUGCCAGCCGCCGCCGUAACAC
rnacentral:rRNA from 1 species